CGACAAGGUCCAAGUCGUUACAAAAAGUUCCACAAUCAGUGGCAGAUUUUAAGGAGUCGCUGCUAGUACAUGCCACUCUAGGUGAAAAUUUUCGAUUCCCGCGAAUAACAAAAUUUUAGGCCACAAAUUUUAGUCUCCCUCCACAAAUUUUAGUCCCUCGGCUAAAUACCUUUAUUCUCAGUCUCUCUCAUAGCUCUCUCCACAAAUUAGGACAAGUAAUAUUACCUUCAUUGAGACAACUUUCCUGUCUCGCAACCCAGCAGCAUGAGGUGCAUGAAAUUUUCGUGGAACAAUGAACGAUAAAGCAUGUGUGACAUAUUGGCUCAAUAUACUUCAGGUGUGCGAUGCAUCAGAACCAUUUGUAAUGUUCUUCAGCACAAAAGUCUUUUUUCUUGUUAACUGGCCUCUUUUCUUUGAAAGUAAACUUACAGAAUCUUGGUGAGACAGCGCGACCUUAUUGUGUAGCUCUUAAUCCUCCUCACACACUUGAACAUACAAUGCUUAUGUGGACCACGGGCCACCCUUUACCCUCAGUUGCUGCAUCAACAGCUUCAUUCGAGCUAGAUCAAAUCCAAGGAAAGAGUGGAAUAUGAUUUUGUAGAGCAUAUCAAGGCAUGAUUGCUGCACUGGGUCUGCUUAGGAGAACCAAUAGUGUCCUGAACUAUCCCAAACACAGUACCUACCUGGACAGAAAUAGGAGCUCGUCUCCUCGUUACUAGAUUUCUCAAGAGUUUCAUCACCACAAGAUGCAUAAGGUUGGUAAUGAAGAACAAAUUCAUGUUACUAUGCAUAUGGAGAAGAUAACCCAACUUUGUUGCGAGAUAUUAUUGGCUGCUUGACAAGUAUGAACCAUUUUAGACUCUUAAACAUAUAACACCUCCAUUAUCGUGAAACUCAAGAGGUAUGUUUUCAAGGCUCGGGAUUCUGAGUUCACGGCUUGGACUUGUAUGCUGUGUUUCAGGACUUCAAGAGAAAAUGAUGCUAGCAAAGGCGAAACUUGAAGACAUCUUAUUUUGCUUUUUGUUUUCAGUGUAUGCACAAUUACAACAUGUUAUGAAUUUUUAUUAAAAAUUUCCUAUGUUAUUUUGUUUGAUAAAUGUCUUUAUUUUUGUCU